rnacentral:lncRNA from 1 species
GCGCAGUGAAGGUGUGCAGUGCGUGCAGUGCGGGUGUGCCAUGCGGGUGUGCAGUGCGGGUGUGCAGGGCAGGGCUGUGGGUGCUCGUGGCCCGGCUCCGGCUGGGUGCACGCGCGUCCCCUGACCCCAAACGGCCCGUGCCCGCUCCCGGACCUGCCUGCAAUUAGUGCGUCAGGAAACGACUCCGCGUUUCCCUGGCCCCGAGCGCUGCGUUUGGCCUCGGCAAGGAGCAGCGCGCGGGGACAACGGCGGUGCGGGCGAGCGAGGAACGCCCGGUGGGGAGGUAGCGUGUGCCCACGCGCGUGUGCACGCCCACCGGUGGGGUUUGCACGUGGGCCUGGGGGGGUGUAGACAUGCGGGGUGUGCACACGCGUGCAUACGUGGGGCGCGUGCGUGUGCGUGCCCGGUGUGCGUGUGUGCAUGGGUGCGUGCACACGUGCGUGUGAUGUGCGUGUUCGUCUAGGGGGGUGUGCAUCCGUGCGUGGUGUGCCCGUGCGCGCAUGCUGCACGGGUGUGCGUGUGGGUGCGUGGGUGUGUGCUUGGGUGUGUUCAUGGGUGUGUGCAUGGGUGUGUGUGCACRUGUGUGUGUGUGCACAAGUGUGUGCAUAGGUAUGUGCACGGGUGUGUACACGGGUGUGUGCACAGGUGUGUACAUGGGUGUGUGCACAGGUGCAUGCAUGGGUGUGCACGGGUGCGUGCACAGGUGUGUGCAUGGGUGUUUACACGGGUGUGGGUGUGUGCACAGGUGUUUGCACAGGUGUGUGUGUGCAUGGGUGUUUGCACGGGUGUGUGCACAGGUGUGUGUGUGUGUACAGGUGUUUGCAUGGGUGUGGGUGUGUGCAUGGAUGUGUGCACAGGUGUGUGCGUGCACAGGUGUGUGCAUGGGUGUGUGCACAGGUGUGUGCAUGGGUGUGUGUGUGCACAGGUGCAUGCAUGGAUGUGCAUGGGUGCAUGCACGGGUGUGUGCACGGGUGUUUGCAUGGGUGUUUGCAAGGGUGUGUGUGUGCACGGGGGUGUGUGUGUGCACGGGGGUGCACGCGCCCCCAGCACCACCCAGCCUCGGGAAGGGGCUCAGCCCCCCCGAUCCCCAACCCCAGCGCCCGCGGCGGCAGCACUCUCGCCCGCGGCCCCGCUUGGGCUCCCCGAGGGCAGCUCCAAAGCCCCGGACGCCGGGGCCCGGCCGAGCAGGGGACAAAGCCGCAACGAUCCGAGCCCGGACACCCCCCCUCUCCCGAUGCGGCCACCGGUCGCGACAUUUUCAGUGCCCCGAGCAGCGCCUGGGUCGCGGCUCCCCAUCCCGACCGGGUGGAUUUGGCGCUGCCUGCUCCCGCCCCGGCUGAUAUUCCCGGCUCUCUCCGAUAAGGGCCGGACAGGAAUGUUUCUCUUUGUAGUUUGAGAACAAACAAUAUGUUAAAGGGGGGCGGAAAAAAAAAAAAGCGCAAAACUCCCCAAAUCCCACCCCCACGCCGCAUUCUUCCCUCUCCUCCCCGGCAGCUGCUCCGUGCUCCCGCGGGAAACCUGAGCCGCUCCAUCGCCUGACUCAGGGCUCUGGGAUGAGCCGAAAACUCCCCUCAGCUCCCGGUGCAAGCCGGGGACAAAAGUUCACGCCGGAGUUCAGGCGGCCUCCGGGCCGCGGAGCUGGCGGAGCUGCCGUUCCGGAGCUGCUUUCCCGGGAUGGGAAGUGCCCGGCGGCUGCUUGGACACGGUUUUUGGGGAGAAACACGGCUGCCGGGAAGGAGGCCGUGRGCCGUGCGGUGGCAGUGACACCCCGUGACACCCCACGGACCAUGGGCUGGUGGGGAUGGGGACGGGGGUGAGGGCAGGAAUGGGGAUAGGGAAAGGGAUGGGGUGGGGAUGGGGAUGGGAACAGGGAUGGGGAUGGGGACAGGGACGAGGACAGGAAUAGAAAUGGGAUGGGGAUGGGAACAGGGAUGGGGAUAGGGUGGGAAUGGAGAUAGGGAUAGAAAUAGGGACAGGGAUGGGAAUGGGAAUGGGGACAGGGACAGGGCAGGGAGAGAAACAGGGAUGGGGCUGGAGACAGGGAUGGGGCUGGGGUGGGAAUGGAGAUAGGGAUCAAAAAAGGGAUGGGAUAGGGAUUGAGAUGGGGAUAGGGACAGGGAUAGAACUAGGGAUGGGAGCAGGGACAGGGAUGGGGAUGCACUGGGAAUGGUGACGGGGAUAGGGACAGGCAUAGAAAUAGGGAUGGGGAUGGGGUUGGGAAUGGAAAUAGGGAUAGAAACAGGGACGGGGAUGGGAAUGGGGACGGGGACAGGGAUGAGGACGGGGAUGUCGGGGCGCCGGGUGCUUUCCGGGCAAACGAGAGCGGCGAUGCAGCGGGAA